rnacentral:rRNA from 1 species
UACAGAGGUCUCAAGCGUUGUUCGGAUUCAUUGGGCGUAAAGGGCGCGUAGGCGGCGGGGUCAGUCGGGUGUGAAAUCUUGGGGCUUAACCCCGGAAACGGCACUCGAAACUGCCCGGCUGGAGGGCCGGAGAGGAGAUCGGAAUUCACGGUGUAGCAGUGAAAUGCGUAGAGAUCGUGAGGAAGACCCGUGGCGAAGGCGGAUCUCUGGACGGCUAAAACUGGACGCUGAGGCGACGAAGGCCAGGGGAGCGAAACGGG